AGUCGAGCGCGGGAAGCAGGCAGAUCCUCUUCGGAGGUGACGCUUGUGGAACGAGCGGCGGACGGGUGAGUAACACGUGGGCAACCUGCCUGUAAGAUUGGGAUAACCCCGGGAAACCGGGGCUAAUACCGGAUAAUACUUUUCGUUGCAUAACGAGAAGUUGAAAGGCGGCUUUUAGCUGUCACUUACAGAUGGGCCCGCGGCGCAUUAGCUAGUUGGUAAGGUAACGGCUUACCAAGGCGACGAUGCGUAGCCGACCUGAGAGGGUGAUCGGCCACACUGGGACUGAGACACGGCCCAGACUCCUACGGGAGGCAGCAGUAGGGAAUCUUCCGCAAUGGACGAAAGUCUGACGGAGCAACGCCGCGUGAGUGAUGAAGGUUUUCGGAUCGUAAAACUCUGUUGUCAGGGAAGAACAAGUGCCGUUCAAAUAGGGCGGCACCUUGACGGUACCUGACCAGAAAGCCCCGGCUAACUACGUGCCAGCAGCCGCGGUAAUACGUAGGGGGCAAGCGUUGUCCGGAAUUAUUGGGCGUAAAGCGCGCGCAGGCGGUCCUUUAAGUCUGAUGUGAAAGCCCACGGCUUAACCGUGGAGGGCCAUUGGAAACUGGAGGACUUGAGUACAGAAGAGGAGAGUGGAAUUCCACGUGUAGCGGUGAAAUGCGUAGAGAUGUGGAGGAACACCAGUGGCGAAGGCGACUCUCUGGUCUGUAACUGACGCUGAGGUGCGAAAGCGUGGGGAGCGAACAGGAUUAGAUACCCUGGUAGUCCACGCCGUAAACGAUGAGUGCUAGGUGUUAGGGGGUUUCCGCCCCUUAGUGCUGAAGUUAACGCAUUAAGCACUCCGCCUGGGGAGUACGGCCGCAAGGCUGAAACUCAAAAGAAUUGACGGGGGCCCGCACAAGCGGUGGAGCAUGUGGUUAAUUCGAA
rnacentral:rRNA from 1 species